rnacentral:misc_RNA from 1 species
UUUAUUGAACAGUAGAACAUUCUCAUUUCUCUACAGGGAAAAAAAAAAACCUGCAAAGUAAACUGUGACAUGCUACCAUCUUUCUUUAAGAGUUAGCAACAAGUCCUAAUAACGCCAAAUACCCACCCCAUCAACCACAACCAAAAGAAGAAAGCAUCUUACCCAUCACAAGACACAUCUAAUACAAAUUAAGAAAUAAAUAAAACUACACUAACAUAAGCAAAAGAUAUAAAGGUGAUCACUUGAAAAAUCAGCAAAAUCA